UAGAAGAAAAUGGAUAUUCAAGUAUGCUAUCUAUCAUAUAUAUUUUCUGAAUCUAUUAAUAUUCACUGAGUGCUUGCUCUAUACCAGGUACUAAACUGGGCACCUUCUAUGUAAAUUUUCUCAUUUACUAGGAGGUAGGUUUUAGUCCCCCAGUUUCCCCAGUGAGAAAAAUGAAGUGAAGAAAAGGCGGCUGACUUACCUAGGCCAAAAAGAUUGCCUUUUAUACAUGAAGUGCCUUUUUGAAGACCUUGCAAAGCUUGACUGAGUUUAUAUAUUUUAAGACUAUUCUCAUAAUAGCAGAUAUUGGGUAUUUCCAUUCACCAGGUAAUGUGAAAAGAUUUCAAUAAAAUCAACACAGUUUAUAAUUCAAUAGGCCCAAACAGCUUUGAAAUUAUGCAGUUCUUGAUCGAUUUGAGAGGAAUUGCAUUAAUUCAAGUUGUUUGCCUUAAAAGUGAUUUAAUACUUUAUAUUCAAUACUUAAUUCAAAAUUGUAUAAAAUGGACCAAACCAGAUCACAUGACUGAGCUAGAGCACCAGUUCCUAACCCCAAUAUCCUAAACUCAAAUCCAGAGUUCUUUCCAUUAUAUGUUCUAACCACCCAUAUUUUCUACAGAACUGAGAAGUAUCCCCUGACAGUCAGGGUGAAUACAGUCAUAGUUAAACUGUAACAGCUGGGGUGGGUGGUAUUCAAGUGUAAAAUCAAUGGAGUACACAAAAGAGAAGAAAAGAAUUGUGAGGUAUGUGUGUUUUUCAAUAGUAUUUGUUUUUUCUUCCCUCUAGCAUGUGGAUUAAAGGACACAGGGACUCUGAAGCGAGGGAGAUUUAUAAAAACCUAGUCUUCUCUCUAAUGGGCUUGGACUGGGGACAGAGAAGCAGGAUUUACCAGCUGUGAGACACAAGAUAGCUGGCUUGAGUAUUCUGACAAUCAACUACCCAAACUCUAGCUACCUCUCUAGGAAUCCUUGCAUUUCUACUCCUACCCCACCAAGGAGUUAGGCCUUGAACAGGUCUCCAACUCUCCAAUUACAUCACCUUGCUGAGACUACAGAAGGCUCCAAACAGCAUAAAGCCUGAAGAAAAGCAAAAGGCAAAUAGUUUCUCAGUAUAAUCACAUUGCUUCACUCCCUCAUAGCACCAGUAGUGGUAACUACGAUAGCCAAGCCCUGAAAUACACUUACCCUGACCUUAGAACCAGCCUGAUCCCUCACAGCUAAUGAGAUGUCCUAGACUUGGCCACUGUAACUCCGAGGAUUCAGAAACUGGUCAACUUUGCAGCUUUAUGGGAUUCUAGGUUUUCUGACGACAUUCAUUCAUCACUCAAAUAUUUAGUCCCUAUCAGGGGCUAUAUUCUGUGCUCUUCCUAGUUCCUGCCCUCAGGGAGCUCACAGUCAACUUAGUAGUAGCAAUGGUAGUGGGGAACAGAAGAGGUGGCAGGAUACAAACUAUAAACAGGCAAUUGCAGUAUAGUAUGAUCAAUGCUACAACAGGAUAAAGACAAAGUGUGAGAUGCUUUAAGAACAUAUAGGAAUGGCACCAAGCCUAGCUCUUGGGAGAAGUAUCACUGAAGUGGCCUACAGUAUAAAUGAACAUCAACUAGAAUAAACAGCAUGAUGAGGAGACAGAACGUAUCAAGGCAAACAUGUGUAAGUGAGAGUAUGGAAUGUUCAAGGAACUCCGGAUGGGUGACUAUGUUUAGAGUAAGAGUCAAAGGUAAGUAUGGUGAACACCAUUAGGCAGGUGAGGCACAGGCAGAAGCCAGAUCAUGGGAAACCUGUACGUAUGAAGACCUACCAGUCUAAAGAGUUUGGGCUUUAUUCCACUGGCAAUGGCAAGCCACUGAAUAUUAGAAGUAAGGCAUGUUUAGAUUUGCACUGGAGGAAGAUCAUCUUUUGUGGAUCAGCUUGUGAAGAUUAGAAGGUGAAGAGGAGGAGUCAAAGAAGGAAGGAUAGUUAGAAAAUCAGAGCAUCCCAAGCAAGAGAUGACUGUCACGUGGAUGACAGAGGUGGGACAGACAGAUGGAAAUGAUACUGCAGAGAAGACCAAGAAGGAGAAAUAGAAAUAAAAUGCAAAGCGGGUUAUCAUGAAAUCUUCAAGAAGGACGCUCACUGCCUGACCCAUUUGUUUCAUAUUGCAAUGAAAUGCUAAAGAAUUUUAACUCCAUUAGGAAAACAGGAGGGAGCAAUAACUGGGUCUUCAGAGGACCAUGCGCUCUGGUUCCUAAAUCAAAUGUCCGUUUCAAUACAGCUGAGAAGACAGUAAGCAAUGGGGAGGAAAAACCUGACAGAGGGAAGAGGUGGGAGGGUGAAAUGCCCUCCUGUGGAUCCACGAGCACAACAUUCACUGAUUUUCUCCUGGUGAAUUUUAAAUCUGGUAGGUCAUGCCUUUAGUAAGGUCAGUGUUUUCUGGAUUUAAACACACUAAAAGCCAACUGCUACCCCUACCAUGAUGGCAAAUUGACUUACCUUUAAACCUUCAGUCUCCCUUUGGUUAUUUCAAGUUAGCUACAGCUGAAAAGCCUAAAAAUCUAACUCCAGAAUGACCUUCCUUAUUGGAAAUUUCCCUGGCACGCAGCAACAUUACCAAGCCACACAAUCAUAAUAUUGUAGCUCAGCAUGUUAAAGAACAAAAGAGGCAGUGCUGAACAUCUUUGUUCCUGUAAGAAAUCCCUUAAUUGUGGCUACAACUUAUUAAGCAAUAAAGGUAGAGAGGGUUCAGCUAAAAUAAAAAAAGAUUCAUAACAAAACAUGAUGACCUUUGUUGGGUGGGAAGGCAAAGUUCCUUCAUAAUUUAAGCACAUCAGUUACCCGUGCCUGGAGGCAUCAUAAUAAAAUGAUGCUUAAAAUAGUUAACUUAUCCUUACCUGUGACACUAGCCUCAGUAUAGAGCAGCAGUUUUCAAAGCCACAAUGUUCUGGCUGGCUGCUUAUCUCCAACAGGAUUAAUGCUCAAAACAUGGCUCCAUUGUUCUGUCUGUCUGUGCCAGGAGCAAUGUCACUGUUGAUCAUUUAACACAGAAGCUGGCUUAUAAAAGUCGGCCUUCCUAUUGACUUGAUGACAGCCUUUGCUCAUGGCAGUAUCCUAUGGGAAGGUGGUGUACAGAAUUUGAGGGCAGAUUUUCAAACUUUUUGAGAACAUCUAUCCAAUUUUCAAGGCUUUAUUAUCCCAAGAGAGUGAGCAGCUUUUUCCAGGAUGUUUCAUGCUGUUUGAACACUCAAGAUAAAAUAAAUAGUGCAAAAAACCUCCUAGACAGUCUGCUAACUUCCUUUCCUAUGCUGUCUUUAACUACCCUUUAAGGUUCGAACUAAAACAAAAAAAAAAAAAAAGAAAAAAAAAUCCUGGCAGCUCUCAGAUCACGUGGGUACAGCUGGUUAUUUCUACCU